AAAGAAUAUCAAUACGUACACUAGAUAUAGAAAUCGGAAUUAGGUACGUUGUGAUCCAUUUCAGCUACUGUUAGGGGUAAGAUUUGGGCUUGCUUGGCCCAAGGCCCAAAUCCAAGUCAAAGGCCUAAGCAGAAUGUUAAGUCAAGAGGGUAGGCUCGUCAAAAUCCUGGAGGAGUGUCCUACACGCAGAAGGCUAUAAAUACGGAAUAGCAUGUCUUGUCAAAGGGGGAUUCCGCCGGACACGCAGAGACACAGAGCAGCUCGUCAGCUCACCCGUCCGAAGUAUCCCGCCAGCCGGUCCGUCUCAAGCAGCUCGUCAGCUCACCCGUCUCAAGCAGCUCGUCAGCUCUCCCGUCCG
rnacentral:sRNA from 1 species